UUACAAAAAAAAUUCCUUCUCCUCCUUUCUCCCCGACGCCAACUCCUUCUGCCCCCACUCCCUUCUAUUUCUAACCACAACCCCGUCGCUAGCCACCAAACUUUUCUCUUCCUUCCCAUUUCUUGGCGGUGCCGUCCUUUUCCCCUUCCCUCUCGCUGUUUCCUCGCCACAGCAAGAAGAAGAAGUCGCCUCCUAUGCUGCCAUUGUUGGUUCAACCUUUUGCUGCCGUCCUUUCGCCUGUUCAACAUCGGAAUCGAGCUCCCCACUGUCGACAAGCCCAAGCCAGCUUCCCCUUGCCGUUUUUCCUCCACCGGCAGCCUUGGGAGAAUCUCACCGGAGUAGCUCCCUUCUCACCGCAAUCUAGCAGUUUCUGACAAGGGUUAAGCGGUGAUUUUGGUGUUUUUGAACUCCCCACGACUCAAGUUUCGCUUAGGCGUCUCGGGAUUCGAAAUGCGACACCAUUGGUGGUACAACGCUUUCGGAUCUUGGUGUUUUCUGAAUGCAAAUUUUCAGAAAUACAAAUUAGAAUUUCGCCUGUCAGCACGCAUCCCGAGAUCACAGGACACGAUCGCCUAAAAAUUUCGGAGGGGACGAAAAUUCAAUCUGGAGGCACCAAAUUGUAGAUUGAAACAGGAGGAGUCCAAAUAUGUGGUUACUUCCGCCUAACAACCACCGGAAGGCAUCAAAUUAUCAAAAAACCGAAUAUCUCCGGCAAGGCAAGUCCACCUCCAAUCGCUGGCCGAAACGCGUCAUUGGGAGCUGCAAAUCUCUAGGCACAGGUUUUUGAGGGUGAGAAAAUUGAUUCCGGUCUUGGUUUGACCAGAAAACGCCGUCAUGGGGUGUUCUAGCGACGAUAGCAAGAGGCGAGCUUCUUCCCUCCUUGCUUCGUCAAUCUCUAGCAAUUUCAGGCGGAACAGAUGGUGAGGAUGAGCUCGUAAUGUUGAGGAGGCUCUAUAGUAGGCGUUUGACGUCGAACAACAAUUAGAACGAGAAGAAAAUAGGAGAAUGGUGGCAGCAGUGGCAGUGAGGGAAGCUGUCGGUGAGAGAUAUUGCUCAGGUGCCUCAUUGCAUAUUUUGCAACAGUCAAACUUACCAUUGGGCUCCUAAGAUAAAAAGAAAAAGCUACAGUACCCCUCAUUUAUAUAAAUACAUAAGAAAUUUUGUUAAUUGUGGGGUUUAAAUAGUAAAUUCUUUUUUGUAUCUAAUUGAAUAAUAAUUCAUUAAUUUCC